AGCCUCCUCUUCUCCAGACUAAAUGCCCCCAGCUCCCUCAGCCUCUCCUCACAGGGCUAAUACUUUGAUCAAGGCAGACUCCUGUUCAGAAAGUGAAGCAGGCAAAAAAAAAAUUACUAAAUCACAGACACCCUCCUUGUACAACUGGGAAGUGGGAAAAGAGAAUUGGCCUAUAGUGCAUGUCACAAAGUUAACAAAUGGAAUAAACUUUACCCUCCUUCUGGAAAAUUAAAGGCAGGGAAAUGGUUUUGAGGAAGGAAGGUUGAAUGAUGAGAGCCUCACAUAAUGGGUGUCAUGGGCUGCCCAAGGAUUUAUAGUUUUCAAAUAGCAGCAAGAUUCACAGAAGGAUUUGAACUGGUAAUGGAAAAUGCUCACUGUUGUAUUAAAUAAGGUUAAGAGGAGUCAAGACUGAAGUUCCUGCAUUAGCACAGCAUAAAGUAAGCAGUCUUUUCCCCAGGGGACAGGAAGUAAUUUUCCCAUCAUCAUUGUCCACUGUAUGAAGGUUUGUAUCUCUCCAUGAAACCAGAGCUAGUCUUUAGGGUUAGACAGCCAUGAGAUGGCAGUUUUCAUGGUGCUGUAUCCCCUGUUAAAAUUUCACUUGUGUUUUGAAGAAGUUUGGCACCUGGAAAUGUAAAGAGAAAGGGAGAACCCAUCCUGCUCCAACUCACUUUUUUCCCAUCAGAAGAAUCACAUUUUACAUUCUUCAACCUUGUUGUUGGUGUGGUUUAAUAUCUAUGCCUCACUCAGUGUAAGAAGGUGACUUUCAUCUCGGAAGCAAAAUAUAUGCACCAUUAUGGCUAUUUUCCUGGCAGUGUAAUUUGGGAGGUCUUUCAUCUGCAAGAUAGCUUUCUGGAGCCUCUGGUAACAUCAGAUGGAGGACAAAAGAAAAAUACAUUUAAUUAUAAAACUGCAGGAGCAUUAUGUGUCUUCUAGGCAGACACAAAAGCCAUCAGUUGUGCAUAUGUUGACUCAUGCAGCCAGCACUUGCAUCAUGCCACACAGACACAGGCAGCCUUCCCCUCUCCAGGGCUCUGGCUGUAGGGCAUUGUCUCAGCUGCUGCCAAGGGGCAAUACUUUUGUUGCUGUUACCUGUAGGUUUGUACUCAUGGUUCUAACUCAGCAUCAGUAUGGCAGGCUGGUUACUGGCUUUGGGUAGGGCUCAGGAAAGAGCUGGGUUUCAGCAUCAGCCUGGAGCACUCCCAGCACACCUGAAUACUCUUAUUGCAGAGCCCACGCCCUGAUAAUACACCUUUGUGCCUCAGCUGUUUGUGCUUCUGGGGAAGCAGCAGGACACAACACUCAGUAGAAUGGGAGAGAAAAGGAAAGAGCUGCUCGUCUGCUGCCCUGCCUGCUGCCAAUGGACUUGCUUCUGGUCUCAGGUGGGCUUCAUCUUAACCAAUCUCUGAGUAGUUUUUGCAUGAAAUUCUAUGGCUGUGUUUGCUGAACUGGAGCUUGGAAUCUCAGCUGCACCACAUUUCUGCCCCACUCCGCCCCUGUGGCCAAGAUGCCAAAUAGACAUGAGCAUGGCUUGUAGGCUGGUGCCCUUCUGAUGUGAAAAUAUAAGGCAUAAGAAUAGAAAUCUUGACGGUUUUAAAAAUAUUCAGACUUUGCACUGAGAUGCUGCUAAUUGGUGACAUCUUUGUACUCUUACUCGUUCCUCACCAAAUAGAAGUCUUUGGCUGCACUGAGCCUGUGUGUUGGUGUUAAAAGCUUUAUGCACUGGAUGUACCUUCCCUCUUUUAAGAAAAAGCAGAACUAGGGUGUUUCUUUCUCUUUUCCUCACAUUUUAAUCAGGAGCACUACUACUGUCAAGAAGGCUCCUGCCACCAUGGUCCCUAUAAGAAUCAUUUUAGGGCAUAACAAGACUUUGUUCUGAUGUCAGCUGAGCAACAGCUUGAGCCUCCUUCCAGCAGGUUCCAUCUGAAGUUAUCUCCAGCUCUUUUUACCAUGACAGGAGCCUCACAGUCAGUUCACUCUAUAUAAUGGUGAAUGGGCAACUCUUCAUCUUACACCAGCAGGAGUGCUACUUGAAGACAUCCCAUUUGCUCAGAAUGAAACUAUAAAGAGGAUCUGGCCCUUAACCCACAGAGUAAAUACCAUACCAAACACAACACAUCAGAUGCACUUCUCCUUCUAGAUCCACUGAAAAUGCUUUAAAUGGGUUUGGCAAAAUACUUCCCAAGCCAGUGGCAGCCCUGUUUGGAGCGGAGGCUUGGACUGGGUGGUCUCCUGAGGCCCUUUUCAGUGCGAAUGAUGCAGGGAUGGUGCAGCGAUGGCUCGUAUCACCUAAAGUGCCAGGAGUAGAGACACUCUUCUUUUCCAUCUUCGUACAGUGACCACUAAACAAAUCAGUUAAGAGCUUAAAGCACCUUCAUGGUGAAGCAGCAGCUCCCUGCAUUAACAAGGCUGAGUCAUACAGAG